rnacentral:misc_RNA from 1 species
UUAAGUUCAGCGCGUAUUCCUACCUGAUCUGAGGUCAAUAAAUGAAGAUGUCAAGAGCACAAGGCACGAGACGGGCUUUAGGUGCAGCACCAUAUUUGCACCGGAGUAGCAACGAGUUGGACGAACCUAGAACGUUGUGUAACCGGGCGGCAGGCCGCACCAAUGCAUUUGAGGAGAGCGUCGUGCAAAGCACAGCGCAG